rnacentral:rRNA from 1 species
CCUACGGGAGGCAGCAGUGGGGAAUAUUGGACAAUGGGCGAAAGCCUGAUCCAGCAAUGCCGCGUGAGUGAUGAAGGCCUUAGGGUCGUAAAGCUCUUUUACCAGGGAUGAUAAUGACAGUACCUGGAGAAUAAGCUCCGGCUAACUCCGUGCCAGCAGCCGCGGUAAUACGGAGGGAGCUAGCGUUGUUCGGAAUUACUGGGCGUAAAGCGUGCGUAGGCGGUUAUUCAAGUCAGAGGUGAAAGCCCGGGGCUCAACCCCGGAACGGCCUUUGAAACUGGAUAACUAGAAUCUUGGAGAGGUCAGUGGAAUUCCGAGUGUAGAGGUGAAAUUCGUAGAUAUUCGGAAGAACACCAGUGGCGAAGGCGACUGACUGGACAAGUAUUGACGCUGAGGUACGAAAGCGUGGGGAGCAAACAGGAUUAGAUACCCUGGUAGUCCACGCCGUAAACGAUGAUAACUAGCUGUCCGGACACUUGGUGUUUGGGUGGCGCAGCUACGCAUUAAGUUAUACCGUCCGUCGGGAGGUACGGUCGCGAGAAGUAAACGUUAAAGUAAGUAGUAGGACGUGUAGAGUUAGCGACGACGACGACGAGGAGGAGG